AUUGAACGCUGGCGGCAUGCCUUACACAUGCAAGUCGAACGGCAGCACGGGUGCUUGCACCUGGUGGCGAGUGGCGAACGGGUGAGUAAUACAUCGGAGCAUGUCCUGUAGUGGGGGAUAGCCCGGCGAAAGCCGGAUUAAUACCGCAUACGAUCCACGGAUGAAAGCGGGGGACCUUCGGGCCUCGCGCUAUAGGGUUGGCCGAUGGCUGAUUAGCUAGUUGGUGGGGUAAAGGCCUACCAAGGCGACGAUCAGUAGCUGGUCUGAGAGGACGACCAGCCACACUGGGACUGAGACACGGCCCAGACUCCUCCGGGAGGCAGCAGUGGGGAAUUUUGGACACUGGGCGAAAGCCUGAUCCAGCAAUGCCGCGUGUGUGAAGAAGGCCUUCGGGUUGUAAAGCACUUUUGUCCGGAAAGAAAUCCUUGGCUCUAAUACAGUCGGGGGAUGACGGUACCGGAAGAAUAAGCACCGGCUAACUACGUG
rnacentral:rRNA from 1 species